CAGGAGGGGUAUGUAGAGAGCAGCCCACAACGCCUGCCAUACCACAAGCCCACGCGGCCGGCGCCGCCAAGCUCCCUCGGCGGGCCGUCGCCAGCUCGUCGUCGCCGUCGUGUCCCCAUCCUUGCCAGCUCGAGCGCCGCCGCCGGCCAGUCGCCCCACCCCUGCCGGAACACUGUUCCGGUUGCACUGGUGAGUCGAAUCCACUCGUCUCCUCUCGUCCGUCUCCUCUCGUCCGUCUCCUCCCCGCCAAUCCCCGGGUUGCUGCCUGAAGCGGCGGGUCGGAUUCAGAGAGGGACCUGCCACUCGCCACCUCGCCCUCCGGCGACGGCGACCUCGCUUGGCCGAACCACACCGGCACGGCGGGCACCGGACGAGAGAUUGUUCGGCAGAAUGCAGCGGCCGGUGGGUCAAGCGACAAAGAGCACACACCAAUCCAUUUAUUACUGUAAUUGUUAUGCAAAACAUCCGGUCCGAGCGGCAAGACAAUGCGUAAUCGUAACGCAUUCGCAUGUGAAAGCCAUUGCAUAAUUGAGAAAAAAGGCAACGAAGCACAGUAGUAUACUCGACAACAACAAGAAGACCAAAAACCACAGCACCGGCAACUCGAGACUGCUUCUGAAUCCAUAAUGCCGGUGUUCCUCUCACCCCAGAAGGUGGUAUAGGGAAGGUAUACCGUAUGCUUACAGAUUGCCUUUGGAGUGCUUUGCCAACAAACAUAUCAACUGGAGAUGGUAUCAGCUUGAAGUUGAGGGCAUCCUUUGAUAUUAUACUCCACCUGACCAGAGGAUGGCAAGCCUUUCAAGCAAGAUAGUGCCCCACAAUCUUUGAUGGUUAAGUUGGUCAAUGCCUUGCAUGAGUGGAGCCUUAUGGUUGUUAAAGCUGAACACGUCAUUAUUUCAACUUCACUUAGCUCAGAACAAUUGAAGUCAAUCUUAACAUCCUUCAGGGAGGACAUACCAAUCAAGGAUAGUUUCUUCAGAGCAAAUCGGCAUCAACAUCAAGAAAGCUGAGAUGUACUCGGCUGGCACCAACAAGCGCAGAGGAUGCACCACACUGAACCGAAGGAGAAAAAUGUUGUUUGAAAUGUGAAUGUUAGGUCUAUCAAAAUGCAAUGAAAGGAUGCAAUCUGACUA